AAACCAGCACCUCAAGUGGUCAGGAUGAUUAUUGGGCCUAAAGCAUCCGUAGCCUGCUUUGCCAGUUUUCGGUUAAAUCCAUACGCUUAACAUAUGGGCCGCCGGGAAUACUGUGCACCUAGGGAGUGGGAGAGGUAGACGGUACUCGGUAGGAAGGGGUAAAAUCCUUUGAUCUAUUGAUGACCACCUGUGGCGAAGGCGGUCUACCAGAACACGUUCGACGGUGAGGGAUGAAAGCUGGGGGAGCAAACCGGAUUAGAAACCCCAGUAGUCC
rnacentral:rRNA from 1 species